rnacentral:rRNA from 1 species
UACGGAGGGUGCAAGCGUUAUCCGGAUUCACUGGGUUUAAAGGGUGCGUAGGUGGGCUGGUAAGUCAGUGGUGAAAUCUCCAGGCUUAACUUGGAAACUGCCAUUGAUACUAUUAGUCUUGAAUACCGUGGAGGUCAGCGGAAUAUGUCAUGUAGCGGUGAAAUGCUUAGAUAUGACAUAGAACACCAAUUGCGAAGGCAGCUGGCUACACGAAUAUUGACACUGAUGCACGAAAGCGUGGGAGUCAAACAG